rnacentral:rRNA from 1 species
GUGAACGCUGGCGGCGUGCUUAAUACAUGCAAGUCGAACGAAGAGCCUUUGUAGCAAUACGGAGGUUUCUUAGUGGCGAACGGGUGCGUAACGCGUUGGUGACCUGCCCCAAAGUGUGGGAUAACAGUUCGAAAGGAUUGCUAAUACCGCAUGUGGUCAUCGGGUUUAGCAGCCGAUGCCUAAAGCAGUAAUGCGCUUUGGGAGGGAGCUGCGUCCCAUCAGCUAGUUGGUGAGGUAACGGCCCACCAAGGCUACGACGGGUAGGGGACCUGAGAGGGUGGUCCGCCACACUGGCACUGAAACACGGGCCAGACACCUACGGGUGGCAGCAGUAGGGAAUAUUGGGCAAUGGGCGAAAGCCUGACCCAGCAACGCCGCGUGCACGAUGAAGGUCUUCGGAUCGUAAAGUGCUUUUCUGGGAGAUGAGAAAGGACAGUAGCUCAGGAAUAAGUGUCGGCUAACUACGU